GCCGGCGAAUAAUUCGGACUGCUGCAGUGUCCACUUCCUGGACCGGCUUGCGGAAAGUUUCGUGAACCUGAUCACUGAGAGGACGGAGAAGCCGUAACUCAAGGCUUCCGCAGGUGGACCUGCGGAAGGAGCA
rnacentral:rRNA from 11 species